GGAUGAAGAUGAUGCUGAUCUCUCAAAAUAUAAUCUUGAUGCCAGUGAAGAGGAAGAUAGUAACAAAAAGAAAAGCAAUAGGCGGAGCCGCUCAAAGUCUCGAUCGUCUCACUCAAGGUCUUCAUCACGCUCAUCCUCCCCCUCAAGUUCAAGGUCCAGGUCCAGGUCCCGUUCAAGAAGCUCUUCCAGCUCGCAGUCCAGGUCUCACUCCGGUUCCAGAGAACAUUCCAGAUCCCGUGGUUCGAAAUCAAGGUGAAUGAGGUAGCGCCUCUGUACAGCAGAGGAGAGUGCUCAGGCUUCAGACGGCUCCGCUGCUUCUCUCAUUCCUCUGCUUCUACUUGUCAGUUCUAUUGUAGCACUGGGAACCUAAUGCACCUGCCUCAGCUUAAUCUCACCACAAAACGUUUCCACUGCACAGUGUGACAAGACAUUUCCAUGGUCAACUGGGGGCGGGGGUGCAUAUAUAGCUAAGAUGUGUAAUGUAGGAAGGUGAAGCCAAGUUACUCCACCAGAUACCUAGUAUAUUAAGAUUAUGUUUGUUUAUAGUUAAUUUAAAUUUGGCACACAAAUGAGAAGUUACUGCUGAGAGGAAGACCAGCCAGUCCAUCAUACAGCUUCAAAACAGAUUUUGUAUUUCAGGCAAAUGUUUACAAUAACUUUGCCUAUUCUUCGUUUCUAGUGAGUGCUCUAUAUAUUCAUCUCCUGACAUUAAAGAAUAUUAUAAAUUGCCUGUGUAAUGAACACCCUCCUAAAACCAAGUUAUGUAGGAUGUUGGCUUGGUGUGAUAUAAGCCAUGCUGUGAACAUAUCAGUUGCGUUUAGUUAAAUAUCAAAGGGA
rnacentral:lncRNA from 1 species